rnacentral:rRNA from 1 species
GGAAUAUUGGUCAAUGGGCGUAAGCCUGAACCAGCCAAGUAGCGUGCAGGAUGACGGCCCUAUGGGUUGUAAACUGCUUUUAUACGGGGAUAAAGUGAGGGACGUGUCCCUUAUUGUAGGUACCGUAUGAAUAAGGACCGGCUAAUUCCGUGCCAGCAGCCGCGGUAAUACGGAAGGUCCGGGCGUUAUCCGGAUUUAUUGGGUUUAAAGGGAGCGCAGGCCGGAGGUCAAGCGUGACGUGAAAUGUAGCCGCUCAACGGCUGAGUUGCGUCGCGAACUGGCUUUCUUGAGUGAGUACGACGUCAGCGGAAUUCGUGGUGUAGCGGUGAAAUGCUUAGAUAUCACGAAGAACCCCGAUUGCGAAGGCAGCUGACGAGUCCUUUACUGACGCUAAAGCUCGAAGGUGCGGGUAUCGAACA